AUUGAACGCUGGCGGCAUGCCUUACACAUGCAAGUCGAACGGCAGCGGACCUUCGGGUGCCGGCGAGUGGCGAACGGGUGAGUAAUGUAUCGGAACGUACCUUUCAGUGGGGGAUAACGUAGCGAAAGUUACGCUAAUACCGCAUAUUCUGUGAGCAGGAAAGCAGGGGAUCGCAAGACCUUGCGCUGAUUGAGCGGCCGAUAUCAGAUUAGCUAGUUGGUGAGGUAAAGGCUCACCAAGGCGACGAUCUGUAGCGGGUCUGAGAGGAUGAUCCGCCACACUGGAACUGAGACAAGGUCCAGACUCCUACGGGAGGCAGCAGUGGGGAAUUUUGGACAAUGGGGGCAACCCUGAUCCAGCCAUGCCGCGUGAGUGAAGAAGGCCUUCGGGUUGUAAAGCUCUUUCGUCCGGGAAGAAAUCGCAUCAGCUAAUACCUGGUGUGGAUGACGGUACCGGAAUAAGAAGCACCGGCUAACUACGUGCCAGCCGCCGCGGUAAAAC
rnacentral:rRNA from 1 species